UGGGGAAUCUUGCGCAAUGGGCGGAAGCCUGACGCAGCAACGCCGCGUGUGGGAAGACGGCCUUCGGGUUGUAAACCACUUUCAGGGGGGACGAAGCUUCCGAGGUUAAUAGCCUACGGGGUGACGGUACCCCCAGAAGAAGCCCCGGCUAACUACGUGCCAGCAGCCGCGGUAAUACGUAGGGGGCGAGCGUUGUCCGGAAUCAUUGGGCGUAAAGCGCGUGUAGGCGGCUCAGUCAGUCUGGUGUGAAACCUUGGGGCUCAACCCCAAGCCUGCACUGGAUACUGCUGAGCUUGAGUCCGGGAGGGGAGAGCGGAAUUCCUAGUGUAGCGGUGAAAUGCGCAGAUAUUAGGAAGAACACCGGUGGCGAAGGCGGCUCUCUGGAACGGUACUGACGCUGAGACGCGAAAGCGUGGGGAGCGAACAGG
rnacentral:rRNA from 1 species